ensembl:snRNA U6 U6 spliceosomal RNA
GUACCCUCUUCAGUAAUACACAUACAAGAACCGGAAUGAUACAGAGAAGAUUAGCAUGACCCCUGUGCAAGAAUGACAUGCAAAUUCACAAAGCAUUCCAUAUUUUA